rnacentral:rRNA from 1 species
CGGAUGAACGCUAGCGAUAGGCCUAACACAUGCAAGUCGAGGGGCAGCACAUGAGUAGCAAUACGAUGGUGGCGACCGGCGCACGGGUGAGUAACACGUAUGCAACCUACCUCUAACAGGGGGAUAACCCGUUGAAAGACGGACUAAUACCCCAUAAUACAGGGGCUCCGCAUGGAGAUAUUUGUUAAAGAUUUUAUCGGUUAGAGAUGGGCAUGUGUUCCAUUAGCUAGUUGGUGAGGUAACGGCUCACCAAGGCGACGAUGGAUAGGGGAACUGAGAGGUUUAUCCCCCACACUGGAACUGAGACACGGUCCAGACUCCUACGGGAGGCAGCAGUGAGGAAUAUUGGUCAAUGGAGGCAACUCUGAACCAGCCAAGUCGCGUGAAGGAUGAAGGUCUUAUGGAUUGUAAACUUCUUUUACAGGGGAAUAAAGUGCGGGACGUGUCCCGUUUUGUAUGUACCCUGAGAAUAAGGAUCGGCUAACUCCGUG